rnacentral:rRNA from 1 species
AUUCCAGCUCCAAUAGCGUAUAUUAAUGUUGUUGCAGUUAAAAAGCUCGUAGUUGAAACUUUGACAUUGGCAAAACUACAAGUUUUGACCGUGUCUAUACUCGCAAACAUCCUGUUUCUCAUUAAUUUGAGUUUCAGUUAUGUUGCGUCGUCUACUGUGAACAAAUUAGGGUGUUCAAAGCAAACCAUUCGUUUGAAUACAUUAGCAUGGAAUAAUAGGAUACGAUCCUGGCUGUAUCGUAUUGGUAACUGCCAGGAUAAUGGUUGAUAGGAACUGUUGUGGGUAUUCGUAUGAGCAUGCCAGAGGUGAAAUUCUUGGAUUUUGAUCAGACGAACUACUGCGAAAGCAUUUACCAAGGAUGUUUUCAUCA